rnacentral:lncRNA from 1 species
UCCAGUCGUAAACAAAAAGGACUCCAACUAAAUAAAGGGGGCGCAGCCCCUGGAGUCCGGAGGGGUCACGCGCGCCCAACCCUAGGCGCCCCACCUGGGCUGCCCUGUUGGACCAUCUUCUUAUUCCGAUGGACCUUCGUUCCUUAACACCAUGAUGAAGUUUAAUUCUCUCGCACGGGCCCGAGUGAUUGGCCCAACCGGAUGAUCAACUGUAGGCGCUUGAGGUGGAGGAGCAACUGGAGGCGCCUGAGGUGCUGCUGGUGUAGAUGUACUCGUGGUGUCCUCAUCAACCAUGAUGUGUGUUCAUUGUCAAAUUUAGAAAUACAUACGUGGAUCAAAAAUUGUGUUAAACUCACAUGGAAGGCAUGGAGGACCAAAG